GAUGAACGCUGGCGGCGUGCCUAAUACAUGCAAGUCGAGCGAACAGACGAGGAGCUUGCUCCUCUGACGUUAGCGGCGGACGGGUGAGUAACACGUGGAUAACCUACCUAUAAGACUGGGAUAACUUCGGGAAACCGGAGCUAAUACCGGAUAACAUGUUGAACCGCAUGGUUCAACAGUGAAAGACGGUCUUGCUGUCACUUAUAGAUGGAUCCGCGCCGCAUUAGCUAGUUGGUAAGGUAACGGCUUACCAAGGCAACGAUGCGUAGCCGACCUGAGAGGGUGAUCGGCCACACUGGAACUGAGACACGGUCCAGACUCCUACGGGAGGCAGCAGUAGGGAAUCUUCCGCAAUGGGCGAAAGCCUGACGGAGCAACGCCGCGUUAGUGAAGAAGGUCUUCGGAUCGUAAAACUCUGUUAUUAGGGAAGAACAAAUGUGUAAGUAACUAUGCACGUCUUGACGGUACCUAAUCAGAAAGCCACGGCUAACUACGUG
rnacentral:rRNA from 1 species